UCAGGCCUAACACAUGCAAGUCGAGGGGUAUNGAGCUUGCUNCNUAGAGACCGGCGCAGGGUGCGUAACGCGUAUGCAAUCUACCUUUUACAGGGGGAUAGCCCGGAGAAAUUUGGAUUAAUACCCCAUAGUAUUAUUGAUUGGCAUCGAUUUAUAAUUAAAGAUUUAUCGGUAAUAGAUGAGCAUGCGUCCCAUUAGUUAGUUGGUGUGGUAACGGCACACCAAGGCGACGAUGGGUAGGGGUCCUGAGAGGGAGAUCCCCCACACUGGUACUGAGACACGGACCAGACUCCUACGGGAGGCAGCAGUGAGGAAUAUUGGUCAAUGGGGGCAANCCUGAUCCAGCCAUGCCGCGUGCAGGAAGANUGCCCUAUGGGUUGUAAACUGCUUUUAUACGGGAAGAAANACUCACGUGUNGGAGCUUGACGGUACC
rnacentral:rRNA from 1 species